UUUUUUUUUUUUCCUCCUUCUAUAUUGUGGUUGCUAAUCUGGCUGAGCUCUUGCUCAAAGCUCCAGGAAUCUUAUAGAAAUUGAGCCUUCCUGGAGUAACCCUUUUCCAGGAAAUGAAAGCAUCUGCCAGGUGUUCCCACCUUCUUCCAUUUUUGGCCUCUUGUCCUCAGAGAUUUCCCUGGGAGCUAUUCCCACCCAGCUCAGCCUUCCUGUCCCCUGCCCCCUCCUUCUCCUGUCACCUCGAGUCCAGCCUCAGAUCCUGAACUCUACUGCUGGCAAAAUGCCUUCCAGCAGUGUGAAUAGCUUUAUCUCAAAAUGUACUGACUUGUAGGACACAGGUCCCAAGAGGCAGCUGGACCACAGCCUCCUACCACAGCCACCAGUGGGGCGGAGGAACCUGCCUUGCUCAGGCACCAAAUUACUACAACCCCAUAAUCAACCGAGGUCAUUAUGGUGGCUCAGAUGUGUAGAUAACUCAAACUUAGAUAACUUCACCUGCUCUCUGAGGGUCAGCAAGUAAGGACUAUGAAAGCAGGCAGAAUUGCACAAAACACAUCUAAUUAAGUUUCAAGGUGACCUGGAAAAGAGUGGCUUCGUGAAAUUUACUCCUCUUCUUUUUGUGGAAAAAACAAAAAACAAAACCAAACCAAAAAAACCUGGAGUUCCCACCAUGGUGCAGCAGAAGCAAAUCCGACUAGGAACCAUGAGGUUGCGGGUUCGAUCCCUGGCCUCGCUCAGUGGGUUAAGGAUCUUGCGUUGUCAUGAGCUGUGGCGUAGGUUGCAGACGCCGCUCUGAUCUGGCAUUGCUGUGGUUCUGGCAUAGGCCGGCGGCUACAGCUCUAAUUUGACCCCUAGCCUGGGAACCUCCAUAUGCCGAGGGGUGUGGCUCUAAAAAGACAACAAAACAGAACAAAAGCCUCAAUAUAUGAAAAUGUGGGCUUGCUGGAUUCAGGUCUGAUUAUUCCCUUAAAAUGAUAAUUCUUAUUUCAUGGUUUUAAAAAAAUAUUCGUUUUCCUAAGGUAUAAUGCAAGUAUAUUUGUGUGUGUGUGUGUGUGUGUGUGUGUGUGUGUGUGUGUGUUUAACAGAUUACAAAGCACAUUGACACACAGUAUAUCAUAGCAGUGACUGGGUCAUGGGUUUUUGUUCAGAUAAGGAACCUGGUUCUCAGAGAGAGAGAGAGCAUUUUUCAUCAUAGUCACUCAGCUGGUCAGUAGUAAAGAACAGGAAAGAAUCUAAGGCUUCUCACUCUGGCAGAAUAUUCUUUCUCCUCUUUGCUUUUUCACUGGGUCCCUUUUCCAUUAAUAGAAAACCUGAUUCCUGUUACAGGGGUUAAAAAAUCCCAUUAACACAGAACCUUUAUGUGCAGUUACAUUUUAUGAUAGGAGGCGAAUCUGUAGAGUCCAUCACGUCUUCUUCUUCAAUCCCCCUUCUCCCUCGCCUGUACCCAUGUCCCUCGGAAGCACAGGUAACGUGUCCAGAACCACCAGAAAGAACCAGAAACCAGAGGCAAUUAAGACAGGUACCUCUGGGUUCCAGAUCACUAGGCACCAAGUGUUUACCACAGGAGGCCACCUGACUGGACAGCUUGUCCAUUCUGAGAGGUUGCUGUCUUUGUCAUGCUUGUUUUUAAAUAUUUUGAAGAGCACUGCCAAUGACA
rnacentral:lncRNA from 1 species